CAUUCAGUAAUGUUCUCUGUCAGUAAUGUUAUCUGAUGUUGGCACUUCUUGGAAGAAACAGAACUAUGGACUAAAUCCAUCUACAAUCCACUGAAAAUUAAGAGACACAGCAACAAAACAGCUGGACAAACUAUGAAAACACGCAGGCAGCAAAAAGAGAGAUCGUUAGUAUUGUGCUAUAGUGAUGGAACGCAGUCUGCUAGCAGGAUGCUAACGAGUAACAGCACCAAUAUGGCAAGUACCUCAUACCACAUCUCCAAUCUGCUGGAGAAAAUUACCUCCAGCGACAACGAUCACAUCAGGAGCCCGAACUGUUUUUAACAGUAAAUGCUACAAAAACAGCAAGCAGCUGCGCUUGUGUUGGGCCUUACUGUUAGCCAAUCUCCCCGUCGGACAACAAACGUUUGAGCACUUCCAUGCCAUUGGUGUUUUAGAUGCCACCAAGGCCACAUUUCGUGCUGUUUGCCCAAGGGAGGAUGGAGGGUCAUUGAUGAAGAAGUGUAUCUCCUUCGGGGCAGAUGGCACCUCUGUGAAAAUGGGUCACAAUGGGGGAAUGAUUGCCCACCUGCAGAGAGAGGCAGGGAGGCAUAUAAUCCCAAUCCACUGUAUGCCACAUAGGCUAGAGCUGGCAAUACUGACCAUUCAAAAGAAAGAGCCAAUGGUGUCUGUUGUGUAUAAUCUUCUGCAUCUGAUAUGGAGGACGUAUCACGUCAGCAGAAAAUCCAAACAAGAGCUUUAUGGUUCUGGGCAAGAGCUGGGUGUGGAUAUUUGCACACCGUCUAGUGUCAAGGGAACUCGCUGGAUCCCUCAUGUUUACAGAGAGUGUUCCUGUGGCAUGGACAAGACAAGGACCUUGCCACUGACGAAGGUCAGUACUCUGUUGUUCUGCAGCACACGGAGCACCUGGCCAUAGCAUCAACAACAGCAGAAGUUCAAGGAUGGACAAAGGAGUUUUACACAACAUGUUUGAAGAGCUAUCCUCACUUAGCCUCACCCUGCAAAGGAAUGACUUGAUCCUCCCCAAAGCCACAUCAGAGUUGAGAAAGACAAUGACCAGACUGGAAGCAUCCUAGAGAACAUCUAGACCAUGCUUGCUCAGCAGCAGG